GGGAAAUCAAAUGCAAUUCUGAUACAAAUAAAAAAUGUGUUGUCUACAACCUGUUUUUAUAUUACAGAAAAUGGAAUGUAAAGAAGGAAAGCGACAAAAAAGACCAACUAUUGAAUACUACCGUAUACCUGCAUCAAGAUCUAGUCGCACUGUUGCGUUAAAAGAGUCUGAUGAUGACAACAAUAACAUCAAUGACCUGGUCAUUAGAGUCGACAGAAAUCUCUUUGAGAACACAAAUGAUAAUUGUAUAAAUAGAAAUAUCAGAAAAAAUCAAGAUAUUCCAGAAAAGCAUGUUCAAAGCAAUAGACAACAUAGCAAUGACCAGAGGGCAGAAAAAGACUUAGAUCAUGGUC